UCUGACUNGAGUACAGAAGGGGAGAGUGGAAUUCCAUGUGUAGCGGUGAAAUGCGUAGAUAUAUGGAGGAUCACCAGUGGCGAAAGCGGCUCUCUGGUCUGUCACUGACGCUGAGGCUNGAAAGCGUGGGUAGCGAACAGGAUUAGAUACCCUGGUAGUCCACGCCGUAAACGAUGAGUGCUAGGUGUUAGGCCCUUUCCGGGGCUUAGUGCCGGAGCUAACGCAAUAAGCACUCCGCCUGGGGAGUACGACCGCAAGGUUGAAACUCAAAGGAAUUGACGGGGGCCCGCACAAGCGGUGGAGCAUGUGGUUUAAUUCGAAGCAACGCGAAGAACCUUACCAGGUCUUGACAUCCCGAUGCUAUUCUUAGAGAUAGGAAGUUACUUCGGUACAUCGGAGACAGGUGGUGCAUGGUUGUCGUCAGCUCGUGUCGUGAGAUGUUGGGUUAAGUCCCGCAACGAGCGCAACCCUUAUUGUUAGUUGCCAUCAUUAAGUUGGGCACUCUAGCGAGACUGCCGGUAAUAAACCGGAGGAAGGUGGGGAUGACGUCAAAUCAUCAUGCCCCUUAUGACCUGGGCUACACACGUGCUACAAUGGUCGGUACAACGAGUUGCGAGCCGGUGACGGCAAGCUAAUCUCUGAAAGCCGAUCUCAGUUCGGAUUGGAGGCUGCAACUCGCCUCCAUGAAGUCGGAAUCGCUAGUAAUCGCGGAUCAGCACGCCGCGGUGAAUACGUUCCCGGGCCUUGUACACACCGCCCGUCACACCACGAGAGUUUGUAACACCCGAAGUCGGUGAGGUAACCUUUUAGGGGCCAGCCGCC
rnacentral:rRNA from 1 species